rnacentral:misc_RNA from 1 species
GUAAGGAUCUAUCUUUGCCGGACGGGCUGGCCCCUAUCUAGCCCGCUGCACGUAUAGCCCCGAACGCGGACUGGGCGGCACAACCAACCCCGCGAAGCUGUCUUUUUAUAAUUAUACGAAGCCGGGCGAGUCUGCGUCUCGCCGAGAGCGGUUCUGCCCUUCGGGCGGGGGCCUCUCUCGAACCAAAGCGCACCCCACUUUUCAAACCCCAAGCGUAAACUCUGAAUCUGAACCUUAAAGGUGGCCGCCCGCCCCACGAAGGCGGGCCCUCCUCCAACCAUUAAACGUUGUAAAACUUUCAGCGACGGAUGUCUUGGCUCCCCCAACGAUGAAGAACGCAGCGAAAUGCGAUACGUCUUGCGACUUGCAGAAUCCAGUGAAUCAUCAAAACUUUGAACGCACCUUGCGCUUCCGGGAUAUUCCUGGGAGCAUGCUUGUCGGAGUGUCUGUUAACUCCACUCGCCCCCCACCCCCCCCC